UGCAAUUCUUUCCUUUUAAUGGCCUUUACCUACCAAACAUAGCAAAGACCACAAAGAGAAAGUAACAGUACCAUCAGCCGUAGGCAGUGUUACCUGGGGCCUGGAGCACAAAGUAGCUGUGGAGGUAGAUCCAAUACAGAAGACAUAGCAGUGUAGAAGGCUGCCAAGCAUGGUUACCAAGACAAAACUCUGAACUUUCUACUGACAAUAGCAGAUCUAAGUUUGAUGUUUGCCUACAACAGUGAAAAAUCCUACUGUUCCAUGGAAUCUGUAUGUAGAGAUUUUAAACGUGUUGAACAUGGAAAGCAGCAGAGCCAAUGAGAAGGAAUACAAUAGGAUGCGUCUUUCCUCACACCUGGUAGAAGCUCAGUUCUUUCUUCUUUAUUCUUCUGAAAAUACUGAAGAACGAAGGAGAGACAUAAAGGAAAACAACAGUACUCCAAGCAUUUACAACUUUUGUCAUAAGAAGAGAAGAAAGCAACAGCGAAACAGUGUGUAUCUAAA